UACCUUUGCAUCUUAUUUGAACUCUUGCAGAAAUCUUUUGAAUGGUCUCUUUGUGGAUUUUUUUUUUUUCCCCACAGAGUCUAAUUUUCAAACUCCCUUACAUUUCACUAACAAAGAUAUUUAAUAACCCAUGUUAUUCCUCUGCUCACAAAUCUCCAGUGUUUCCUUGAGGCCUGCAUCAGCCCUAUGCUUAUCUCUGCCCUAUGCUUAUGAUCUGGCCCUAGUACAUCACUCUUAGUCUCUGGUUUCAUCCUUCUCCUACCUCACCCAUGGCUCCCAACUCCACCCAAAAUAAUAUUUAAAAAACCAUCAUGGCUCAGUGGUUAACGAAUCCAACUAGGAACCAUGAGGUUGUGGGUUCGAUCCCUGGCCUUGCUCAUUGGAUUAAGGAUCUGGACUUGCAGUAAUCUGUGCUGUAGGUUACAGAUACGGCUCAGAUCUCGCGUUGCUGUGGCUGUGGUGUAGGCUGGCGGCUACAGCUCCGAUUUGACCCUUAGCCUGGGAACCUCCAUAUGCCAUGGGCACAGCCCUAGAAAAGACAAAAAAAAAAAAUUAAAAAAAAACGAUGGAGUGGUAUUUAAAGAUCUGCUCCCCAAGUGCACGCACACACCCCCACCACACACAUGAGCACAGCAGUCACAUAACCAUAGCCAAUUUCACCUUCUUCAUAUCUCAGAAUACUCUUCCUUUUGUCUAUUAUUCAAACCGCAAUGGAGUUCCUGCCAAUUUCUAAAACCACCCUCAACAGUCUUUCUUUCUCUACCUAUUUGAUAUUCUUACACUUGUACACUUACUUAUCCAUCUCUGUGGCUCAAAAUUCCACACAAACUACAAAACAGAGCCUAUGUGAACUCUUUCAAUGACAUUUGCUCUAAUUAUUUCUGCUGAAAUUUUGCUCCUAUGAGACUUUUUAUUUUUAUAAGCACAAUAUAGACCAGUCAUUAUUUUUGAUAUCAUUUUGAUAAAUUCAACUGUCUCCAUAAUAGGUUGUAAACAUCUUGAAACUAGAAAUUAUUCCAUUCAUUUUCCUUCUUCUAUGGGGUAAGGAAGUACACGUAUUAUUUAUUGCAAACAAUUAAAGGAUCCCAUGUAAUUUUAAUACAGUAUAUUUCAGAUAUCUUUUGGAAAUCAAUAAAAUUGCAAACUAUUAUGGAAACUAUGUAUUCUAUAAGAACUUCUCAUAUUUUAUUGAUGUUGCAGUGACUUUGACAUCAAAUGAAUUAAAUUCACUGGAAGACUAAAGAAGGUACCAAAACUCUACUCUUGGUCCUCAUUAACUUACAUAAAUGUUAGCACCAUUGGCUUUUAUCUAUCUCCCUAGAUCUAGAGACACUCGGAAGGCAAAUUGUCAGGUACCUCAAAGCCAGACCAAAUGUUCUGAAAACAUUUUUUGUACCUGCAUCUCCUGAAUCAACUGUCAUUACUCUCCUGUACCUAAAUCAUACAGCUCUGCUAAAACACUGGACUUCAAAUAUCUCAUAAGCCAGUCUGUAUGUCUCCAAAUUUAUCACUCACUACUUCCCUAAGUGAAUUCCUUACUUUAGAAAAUUGAUUUAAUUUUCCCCAUAAAAUAUGCUGCAAAUCCCUGCCUCUGCUCCAUUGUUUACUUCGUUCCUGCCACCGGGAAUGUCCUUGCCUUUUCUCUCCUCUCAUUAAAGUUGAACUCUCCAUGGAAAUUUCACUUAACUGGAGUAAUCCACAGUGAUGUUUCUCUUCCCUGAACUCUUAUUGAAUUUAUUACCUGAACUACUAAUUAGUCAAAUAAACUAUGAGCACUACAUUGCAAUUCAACUUUUUUUUCCCAUUGAAAUGCUUUUUAUGCUCAAAUUACUUUUAGUAAUAAUUUUUAUACUUUUUAACCUACAACCUUUUCAACAUGGUUCUUAAUAUAUAGCUUUAAAUAUGUAUGUGUAAAUAUAAACACCUGGUUUAAAAUGUCUGAAAAUAGGAUUAUUUCUACUUUUAUUUAUUAUGUGCUAUAAGUACUACUGAAAUGAUAAGAUAUGGACUCUGUAAUAUUGUAGAGUUUAUUGUCUAAUAGUAAGAACAAAUAAAUGGAAAUCAAGUAAUGAAUGUCAUAAUGGAUGUGCAUGUAAGCUGUAUUAAAGCUGAAUAAAUUUCAUAAGUUUGAGAGGGAGGAUAUGCAUGUGAAAUUUUUGAGUCUGCAAAUGUAGUUUAUCAGAAAAGUAAGAAGAGAAAAACAUUUGGAUCAGCAGUAUCAAAAGCAAGAGAAAAGGACAGGAACAAUCAAAGGAAAUACGGUUGUUUUGUUCAUAGAAACAUGUAUCCCCCUCCUGUUCUUAGUGCAUUGUCUGGCACAUAGAUACUCAGUAAUUGAUCAUUGAAUGUCUAAAAUGGUGGUUACAAGAGGUUUGUGCAGGUUCCAGAUAAAAAUGAACUCAUUGACCAGACUUUUGAACUAUAUCAAAUUGUUUAUAACUCAUCACAUUCUUGUCAGAUAUCUCCGUUUUAUACAUUGGAAAACUGCAGUCCACAGAACUGAUGUUGCUCAAGUUAUAGGUAAGAGGCAAAGGCAGGAUUCAUAUUCAGAUUUAUCUAAAUCCCUACCAUGUAUCUUUACUAUACAGCAUUCUACCUUCUCAACUUCAAAUUGUAAAAGAGGAUGGGGUAUAUAGGUAAAUACAUACAGUCACAGUUUGUUUAUAUUGAGAACAAAGCCUAGAUUUAAGAGCAGGUAGUAAGAAUCACAUUGUGAAGGCCUUUGACUGCCAAGUUAAGGCACGAACCUUAUUUUUUAUACUGUGUUAAGCCAAGGGAGAAUUUGAAGGAGAUUUAUAUAUGUUAAAUAUCACCAUAUAAAUUGUGUGAAAGAAACUAGUGAGGGAAGUGAUUGGGAGGAGUAAAAAGUUAGGAACACGUAAAAAGCUUUGAAGAGAAAAAAUAAGUGUCUAACUAAAGCAUUGGCGGUAGAAGGAAAAGGGAAAAUACAGCAGAACAGAUAAGAUUUGGGACAGGUUGGCUGUUAUGACCCAGAGUCCUAAUUUUAAGGUAAAUGACCAAGUUUUAACCUAUCCAUGUGGUAGCAAUGUUAAUUUAGAAAUAGUCCAUAGGCAGAGGUGUAGAUUUAGUGUUUUAAGAUAUGUUAACUUAUAGGGCAUGAAAGGAUAUUAGAGGACACUGGGGGAAUUUCAGUCUGUAUUAAAGGAGAGUGAAACAAAAAUAUUAGCUGGGAGAAUUAGGAGUAUAUAAAUGGUGCUUAAAGCAACAUAAGCCUAGAUGAGUUCAUCCAGGAGAGAGUAUAACAAAAAGAUACUCAUAUCCGUCUAGAUUUUAGGCAUUCUUGAAUAAAUUGCUAAGAAGUAGCAAAGUAAUAAGUAGAAAUAGGGAGUAAUAGGUUAUGAUUUCAUGCAAGAGAUGAGGCAGAGCAUUUCAGGGCUGAAGUCCUAUACAGAGUAAGUAGCUGUAACUUUGUUAGAGGCUGAAAUGAAAUUUAAAAUAAAAAAGUUUUAGAGGGCAUUGGUAACUUAAUAAUGAUGGUGGUGAAGUUGUAGGAACAUAAAAACAAAUGCUGUAGAUGACGUCUAGCUAUAGGUAAAAUGUUCUUUGAAAUAACUUGCUUAUAAAAAUAUAUAGUAAAACAGGAAAUUGUCAAGACUGGUAUUAGAAAAACAAAUGAAGAAUAGAAGUAUAACCUCAUGAGCAUCAAUCAGGCCAUAACGAGUAAU
rnacentral:lncRNA from 1 species